CUCUCCCAUGCAUUGGACCAAAUGAAACAAUAAAGCUAUUUGCAGGGAAAAAAAUAAAGGGACAAAUAAUGCCUGCUUCUUAAGCCUGAAGAGAACUCGUGAUCCUGUGGAUGGGAGCAUUCUGACUCUCCUGGUUUUGAUUUCUUAUAGAUAAUUAAAUGCUCUCUUACAAGUAA